rnacentral:rRNA from 1 species
GAUGAACGCUGGCGGCGUGCCUAAUACAUGCAAGUCGAGCGAACAGAUAAGGAGCUUGCUCCUUUGACGUUAGCGGCGGACGGGUGAGUAACACGUGGGUAACCUACCUAUAAGACUGGAAUAACUCCGGGAAACCGUGGCUAAUGCCGGAUAACAUUUAGAACCGCAUGGUUCUAAAUUGAAAGAUGGUUUUGCUAUCAUUUAUAGAUGGACCCGCGCCUUAUUAGCUAUUUGGUAAGGUAACGGCUUACCAAGGCAACGAUACGUAGCCGACCUGAGAGGGUGAUCGGCCACACUGGAACUGAGACACGGCCAAGACUCCUCCGGGAGGAAGCAGUAGGGAAUCUUCCGAAAUGGGGGAAAGCCUGACGGAGAAAGGCCGCGUGAGUGAUGAAGGUCUUGGGAUCGUAAAACUCUGUUAUUGGGGAAGAACAAAUGUGUAAGUAACUGUGCACGUCUUGACGGUACCUAAUCAGAAAGCCACGGCUAACUACGUG